rnacentral:rRNA from 1 species
UAGAGUUUGAUCAUGGCUCAGGAUGAACGCUAGCGGCAGGCUUAACACAUGCAAGUCGAGGGGCAUCGGGAGGAAAGCUUGCUUUCCUUGCCGGCGACCGGCGCACGGGUGAGUAACACGUAUGCAACCUGCCCUCUUCAGGGGGACAACCUUCCGAAAGGGAGGCUAAUCCCGCGUAUAUCGGUUUCGGGCAUCCGAGAUCGAGGAAAGAUUCAUCGGAAGAGGAUGGGCAUGCGGCGCAUUAGCUUGACGGCGGGGUAACGGCCCACCGUGGCGACGAUGCGUAGGGGUUCUGAGAGGAAGGUCCCCCACACUGGUACUGAGACACGGACCAGACUCCUACGGGAGGCAGCAGUGAGGAAUAUUGGUCAAUGGGAGAGAUCCUGAACCAGCCAAGCCGCGUGAGGGAAGACGGCCCUAUGGGUUGUAAACCUCUUUUGUCGGAGAACAAAACCCGGGACGUGUCCCGGACUGCGUGUAUCCGAAGAAAAAGCAUCGGCUAACUCCGUGCCAGCAGCCGCGGUAAUACGGAGGAUGCGAGCGUUAUCCGGAUUUAUUGGGUUUAAAGGGUGCGUAGGCGGUCCGUUAAGUCAGCGGUAAAAUUGCGGGGCUCAACCCCGUCGAGCCGUUGAAACUGGCAGACUUGAGUUGGCGAGAAGUACGCGGAAUGCGCGGUGUAGCGGUGAAAUGCAUAGAUAUCGCGCAGAACUCCGAUUGCGAAGGCAGCGUACCGGCGCCAGACUGACGCUGAGGCACGAAAGCGUGGGGAUCGAACAGGAUUAGAUACCCUGG